rnacentral:rRNA from 1 species
UACGAAGGGUGCAACCGUUGCUCGGAAUUAUUGGGCGUAAAGCGCACGUAGGCGGCUUUGCAAGUCCGAUGUGAAAUCCCACGGCUCAACCAUGGAAGUGCAUCGGAAACUGCAGAGCUUGAGUACAAAAGAGGAUCGCGGAAUUCCCGGUGUAGAGGUGAAAUUCGUAGAUAUCGGGAGGAACACCAGUGGCGAAGGCGGCUUCCUGGACCGACACUGACGCUGAGGCGCGAAAGCUAGGGGAGCAAACGGG